rnacentral:rRNA from 1 species
AUUGAACGCUGGCGGCAUGCUUUACACAUGCAAGUCGAACGGUAACAGGGAGCUUGCUCCGCUGACGAGUGGCGAACGGGUGAGUAAUGCGUCGGAACGUGCCGAGUAGUGGGGGAUAACGCAUCGAAAGGUGUGCUAAUACCGCAUACGAACUGAGGUUGAAAGUGGGGGACCUUCGGGCCUCACGCUAUUCGAGCGGCCGACGUCUGAUUAGCUAGUUGGUGAGGUAAAGGCUCACCAAGGCGACGAUCAGUAGCGGGUCUGAGAGGAUGAUCCGUCACACUGGGACUGAGACACGGCCCAGACUCCUACGGGAGGCAGCAGUGGGGAAUUUUGGACAAUGGGCGCAAGCCUGAUCCAGCCAUGCCGCGUGUCUGAAGAAGGCCUUCGGGUUGUAAAGGACUUUUGUCCGGGAGCAAAUGCUGGUGGCUAACAUCCACCGGAGCUGAGAGUACCGGAAGAAUAAGCACCGGCUAACUACGUGCCAGCCGCCGCCGUAAGAC